rnacentral:rRNA from 1 species
CCUACGGGUGGUAGCAGUGGGGAAUAUUGGACAAUGGGCGAAAGCCUGAUCCAGCCAUGCCGCGUGUGUGAAGAAGGCCUUCGGGUUGUAAAGCACUUUCAGUGGGGAAGAAAGCCUUGGGGCUAAUACCCUCGAGGAAGGACAUCACCCACAGAAGAAGCACCGGCUAACUCCGUGCCAGCAGCCGCGGUAAUACGGAGGGUGCGAGCGUUAAUCGGAAUUACUGGGCGUAAAGCGCGCGUAGGCGGUCUGAUAAGCCGGUUGUGAAAGCCCCGGGCUCAACCUGGGAACGGCAUCCGGAACUGUCAGGCUAGAGUGCAGGAGAGGAAGGUAGAAUUCCCGGUGUAGCGGUGAAAUGCGUAGAGAUCGGGAGGAAUACCAGUGGCGAAGGCGGCCUUCUGGACUGACACUGACGCUGAGGUGCGAAAGCAUGGGUAGCAAACAGGAUUAGAUACCCCUGUAGUC